UACGUAGGGGGCAAGCGUUGUCCGGAUUCAUUGGGCGUAAAGAGCGUGUAGGCGGCCAGGUAGGUCGGUUGUGAAAACUGGAGGCUCAACCUUCAGAGGUCGACCGAAACCAUCUGGCUAGAGUCCGGGAGAGGAGAGUGGAAUUCCUGGUGUAGCAGUGAAAUGCGUAGAUAUCAGGAGGAAUACCGAUGGCGAAGGCAGGUCUCUGGGCUGACACUGACGCUCAUGCACGAAAGCGUGGGGAGCAAACAGGAUUGAGAAACCCA
rnacentral:rRNA from 1 species